rnacentral:rRNA from 1 species
CAGCAGCCGCGGUAAUACGUAGGGUGCAAGCGUUAAUCGGAAUUGCUGGGCGUAAAGCGUGCGCAGGCGGUUCUAUAAGACAGAUGUGAAAUCCCCGGGCUCAACCUGGGAACUGCAUUUGUGACUGUAGAGCUGGAGUGCGGCAGAGGGGGAUGGAAUUCCGCGUGUAGCAGUGAAAUGCGUAGAUAUGCGGAGGAACACCGAUGGCGAAGGCAAUCCCCUGGGCCUGCACUGACGCUCAUGCACGAAAGCGUGGGGAGCAAACAGGAUUAGAUACCCCCGUAGUCCCUGUCUCUUAUAC